rnacentral:lncRNA from 1 species
UUGGCUCUGAUACCAAGUAGAAAUUCAAUAAUGUUUGGAAAACAGAGAAAACUUCCUUUGAUUUAUUAUCACUAAAUCAUCAUUACAAUGAAUCUGUACAUUAUUCCUUUUAUAUACAUGAGUAGCUGAUUUAACUAACUUUACAACUAAUUACAAUUGCUAAUGAGCUAAUUAAAACUAUCUAACAAACUAACGAGCACAAGGAAGGCUGUAACAGAUUUUCCUAAUCUUCACGUGUGCAAGAGAUUACAAAACCACCAGGCUCCAGCUAGCAAGCCAUGUCAUCAACUUGUAUCUGUAAGCUGCAGGUGUUACAAUCCUCUGCUUCACUGGCCACUCUACACAUAUGAGCUUCCUUUACAGUGAUCAAUUGGAAAGAAAUACAACCCUAGCAAAAAGUUUUUUUUUUCAUAGUUCAGUGUAAGCUUUUUUUAUUAGUGUUUAUUGUUGUCAUAUAUAUCUUUUCUACGUAUUGCUUUUGCUUUGUUUCUCUUUUAUAUUUUUUUUCAAGUAAACAUGCCCAUUAACCAAUUCAAUGUAGGACAGCAUCAAAUUGUUUACAAAAUGCUAAAAACAAUUAGAGAAGUAAGUUCUUAUUUAAAUAUCAGCAGUUAUUAAAAAUGUUUUGUUGAUUUAUUCUAAUUUGAAUAACAUACAUGCAGUCUUCUAAACAAGCUGAAAAAAAACAUAAGAAAGAACUUGCAGCUAUAGUCACAACUCUUAGAGAUAAUAAUGAAGAUAUAGAAAGAUUGCAGAUUUUGAUUCAGAUAAUUCAACUUAUCCCCCCUUAUGUACGAAAAAGAUGAAAAAGAAAAGAAAAGGUCUUACAAAGAUUCAUUUGGCUGCACCUUUUAAUGUAAGUCAUGAUUCAGUAUUAUCGGCUUAGAAUUUGUUAUUUUGAUUAUUUUAAUUUUGAUUAUGUUUAUAUUGUGCUCUAUACAAGCAAAAAAAAAAAAAAAAGCAAAGAGAAAACGUGUAGUUAUCUUAGAUGAGCUUAAAGAGAUUUGAGUUUAGUGAAUUUGAUUCUGAUUGUCCAAAAAAAGAAAAAGAAGAGGGGACUUAUAGAUGUAAGUUAUAAUUCAAUAUUGUCAACUUAGAUUUGUCUAUUUUCAUUAUUUACUCUAAUUUUAAUCAUGAUUAUAUAUAGUCCUUUAAACAGGCAGCAAAAAGAGCAAAGGGAAAACAUAUAAUUGCUAGAGAUGAACCUGAAGACAGUGAGUUUAGUGACUCUGAUUCUCAUAAUUCAAUAUUUCUUCCAAAAGUGAACAAAAGGAAAAGGGGUCUUGCAAAGAUUGACGUUGUUGCAUCCAUUGAUGGCAAACGUAUGGAUGUUUCAUUUAAUGAGAUUGGGUAGGUUGUUGGUGAUAAUUCCAUUAAAUUGUCUUCUUAUAUUGGUAGCUUGGUAAAACAAAUGAUGCCAAUAACAUUGAAUAGUUGGCAUAAAGUUGAUGAAGAUUUAAGAAAAAUACUUUGGAUUUGUGCCCAGGUAGUGUUUGAUAUGUGUUGAUUUAUGAUAAAAUGUAUAUCUUCUAGUAUUUCCUUAACUAAUAAACAUUUUUUACUAUUGCAGCAACAAUUCAUCAUUGAUUAUUGUCACAGAGACUAUAUUCUUAUGAUGAUGGGAAAAAUUUGGAGAACGUACAAGUCAGAGUUGUCAAGAAAAAUAAGAUGUGAUCAAUCACCUUGCUGCAUUGAGAGAGAUGAAACCUCAAAACAUCAAAUCUGAGCAAAAGUGGAAUAAAUUCAUUAGAGAUAGAAGUUCUAUAGAGUUUCAGGUCAGUAUGAUUCUUCUAAAUUGUGUAAGGAAAUUUUUAUGUAAUAAUUCACUCACUUUUCCAGUUCAUCUAGUUGAAAAGCAAAUAUUUACAAGCUUUGAGGGCAAAGCAAAAAAGAGUUCAUCGUACAGGCCGUAAAAGACUUCCUCGUUUGAGACAUGAAAUAGUAAUUUUUCUUGUUAAGUUUUUAUUCUUAUGCAUUACCAGUAGUUCGGUAAUCAAAUAAUGAUCUAUAUAUUUUGUAGAUAAAACAAAAUCCAAAUUCAUCAAUAACUCAAGUUGACAUUUGGUCUCAUGCCUAUUCAAAGAAAGAUGGAAUUCCAAUUGAUAAAGAAAUUACUGAUAACUUGGUGAUUAAUACUUUUUCUUUUAUAACAAUUUUAUUUACCAGUUAAUUAGUUUGCUAAUAAGAAUUUAAAACACAUGCUUACAAGAAAAUAUUAAAUAAUAUAUGAGGACACAUCCUGACUUAGGUAAAUGUACUGUCAAAAGUGAUGCUUUAACUCGUGUAUUGGGAAAAGAACGUCUUGGACGAGUGCGAGGAUUUGGAUUCGCAGCCACACCUUCUAAAUUGGCUUUACAAGCAAUUACCCACUCAAAUGUUUCUCAGCCUGAGAGCAGACUAAAUGAUCUUCAUGCCAAAUAUAAUGAACUUCAAGCAUCAUUCAUCAAUUACAUGAGGACACAUGAGGUAAUGAAUGUAUAUGUCUUUUUAUAUAUGUUACAUUUGCUUAGUUGUAUAUUGAACUUCAAGUCUCAUUUGUUAAUUACUGAAAGUUGGUAUUAAUGAAUUUAAUUUGAAUAUAUGAGUUAUGACACUUUCUGAAAGUUGGAAGCCAUAUUGUUGGUUAGUAUUGCUCUGUUUUUUUUUAAAAGUAUUUAUUUGCUUUUAAUGCAAGUUUUUAACUUUGGUUAUAGCUAGAAGUAAUCUUCAGACAUUUUAUGUACUUGUAGGUUCAAAAUUGUAGAAAUGAAAAAAUGCAAGAUUUUGAAGAUAAUUCACAAGUUUUAGAUAGUUUUAAGAAAAUAAUUAUAUUCUAAGACUAACACCUUUAUGGAUCAUUUUAAGAAGUCAAUAAUUAUGUUCUAAGACUAAUACCUUUGUUUCAUUGUUCUUGUUUGUGAUAGAUACAAAGCACCAACAGACAUGGAUUUAAUGAAUCUAACGUGGAGAAUACACAAUGCAAAUUGUUGGAUUGGAAGGGCAUAAGAAAAGAUUUCGGAGAAGGAACAGUUGCAUCAACAAAUCCACUUUCAAAGGCACAUCACAUGGAUCUUGGACCAAAUUAUUGGAAAGUUUAGGUUACAAUAACAAUAAUAGGAAAAACUCCUUUAUAUCGUAUGACAUCUGAUUUUUAUGUUCUUGAUGAUGAAAUUGGAAGCACAAUUGCUUGGCCGAAGAACUAUGUAGCCUUAAACUAAAUUGUUUGUUGAUGUAUUGAAUAUUAUUGACCUGAUGUGUACAAUCUAUAUUUGGAUAUUCAAUUUUGAUGUUUGUAUGGACAUAUGCAGUAACUUUUUAAAUCUCUAUAUUUGUAUGGACAUUUAAUUUUGAAAUUUGGAUAUUCUCUUUUGAAAAAUUGUAUGAAUAUUUAAUUUUGAUAUUUAAAGGAACAAGUGAAUGUUGGUUUUUGGCAGUACAGUUUUUGCGGCGUUUACCCAAUGUUAUUUUGUCUUUCCAACAUUUUUAUUAUACUCUUUUUACAACAUUUGUUGACCGCUACAUUAGACAUUCUACCUUUUACAGCAUCGUCCAAAAUAGCGUUGGACAAAAUGCUACAUAAGACUUAAUGAAGCGUUCAUCAAAUGCUGCAAAAAGUAAGCUUUCUUAUAGUAUGUCAAUUUUUUUAACUCAUUUUUUUUUUUUGGGGCACAACAAAAAAUGGGUUUUUCAUUUUAAUUCUCACUUCCACAAGUUGCAAAUUGUUUAAGUGAAUUCCAUCCAAAGCAAAGCUUGAAAAAUCUCUAUUUCUCUCUAAUAACAAAAGCCCAAUUUGCCUAAACCAUUUUCUCUCUUAAAAAAUAUAUAUGUUUUUAGAGUGACAGUUAAUAAAUUCAAAUUGCAGAUUGUUUAAGAGAAUUCCAUCCAAAGCAAAGCUUGAAAAAUCUCUAUUUCUCUCUAAUAACAAAAGCCCAAUUUGCCUAAAUCAUUUUCUCCCUUCAAAAAAAAUUAUUUUUGGAGUGACAGGCAAUAAAUUCAAAUUGUGCAUCAUCAACAAAAUGGCAUUUGUAGUGAAAUCAUUAUCAUGAACAAUAUCAUUUUUAUAUGCUAUUAAAAACAAUUAAUCAAAUCAAUCAAAUAAUUACUCAAAAAUUUACUUAAAUAAAAAAAAUACCAGCUGUGACAAAGCGGAGAGAGCAGCAGCAGCACGGCGGAGACGGGGCAGCAGCGUCUACGGCGGAGACGGGGCAGCAGCGUCUACGGCGGAGACGGGGCAGCGACAGUGGCUGAGAUGAAGUAACGACAGCAGCAGAGACGAAGUACAGCAGCUGGCACACCAAGAGAGAGUAUAUCAGGAGAAAUAAGAAGAGCGAAUGAUGUUGGAUGAAGAUAAGAGGAGAGAGAAAGUACAGAUUUGUUGUGACUGGAUCGAGAAAGGUGAGGGGGAAGAGAGAGCGUUGAUGAAGAGAUAAGGAUGCGGAGGUAGUCACGAGGUUGGUUUUAUUUUUUAAUUCAUUUUUAGGUUUAGUUUUGUAAUAUUUGGAGAAUGUUUUUAACAUGUUUUCAGUUUACUAGUUAUAAUAAUGAAUCUGAAUUUUUUGUUUUGUAAUCUUCUUUUUGAAUAUAAUCCACUGAACAUGUAUUAUAUAUGUAUUAUGAAAACAAAAAUAAAAAUAAUGCUUGGAAAAUGAUACCGAACAUGCCCUAAGUUCUUUUGAUUAACUUUAAACUUUAUGAAAAUUCUAAAAAUUUACUUCAAUAUUUGAUGAAAUGUAUGUAUUUUUAAAUGGAUUUAAGUCUAUAAAAAAUUUAAAAAUUAGUUGAAUAUUUGUUGAAAUGAUCAAGGUGUUGUCGAAUGACUUUAAACUUAAAAUUAAUUUAAAAAUUUACUUCAAUAUUUGAUUAAUGAAAGUAUUAUCAAAUUAUUUUUUCUCCAAUUUUUAUUUUUUGGGGUCUAUCAUCAUGUGAGCUUAUUGAGGACGUCAAGUAAUUAAAAUUUAAUUUAAUGCAAAUAUGAAAUAUAAAAGAGUAUAUUCCUCAAUAUUAUAUGACUUAUGUCAUUAAACAAAAGCUUUCUUUUUUACUCUAUUUAUAUUGCCUCUAUGUUUACAUAUUGUCAAAUAAUUACUCACUCAAACAUAGGGAUGGCAAAAAUCCCAACGGGGACGGGUACUCUCGGGAAUUUUCUCCAUUUAGGGAGGGUACGAGGAUAAUUUUAUACCCAAUUUUUUUUUGGGGAGGGUGUUGAGUGUUAGAAAAUGCAUAUUUAUAAAGGAGAAAACCGUCAUUUUACAUUUUAAGUCUUACUAACAACCCUUACUUUUAUAUAUUUAACCUUCUUGUGAUUUAAUUACAUGUGUUUUAUUUUAAUUAAGUAUUUUAUGUAUUUUAGGGGCAUUAUAGUCAUUUCACAAUAAAGGAGAGAUCAGACAGCAAAACGGACAUCACUUUUGAACUCAGGACGGUCGAAAACCUUAGGAGGAGCAUAAAAGGAAAAAUGGCACUAUUCACAUGUACGGUACUAUUCACGUGUACGGUACUGUAUACGUUACUGUUCACGACACUGUUCACAUAGACGGAUGAUGACGUGGCAUUGACCGAUGAUGUGGCAUUGACUGAUGAGGUGUCACGAUCCUGUUGGACUAAAAUUCUUAUGUACUGUUGAUGGUGACGUGGCAGCAUAUCAGUGGACGAAAAAUCUCGCGUACGGUGCAUGCAUCACAUAGGAUUAUUUUCAACCAAACCGCGUUACUGUUCAUCCGGGUCAAACCGUGUUACUGUUCAUCCGCGUGGUCAAACCGUGGACUGUUGACUGAUGACGUGGCGCAAUCCUGAGCGUCCAAACUGUUUUUAAUCCGAUGGCCAUGAUUUACUCCAUGUAUCUAUAAAAAGGGGGCCUCCCCCCCCUAAUUUGAUAUCUCUGAAUCCAUUUUUGGGAUCCAUUUUCUGUAAUUCCCUCUCCAUCUUGUAUUUUCUUCGUAUUUUAAU